GCCCAGGCCACAGCCAGCAGGAGCUCUGGUCCUCGCUAGAGCAGCUGCAAGCGGGCAUCACUGUCCCCGGGGAGGGGACCCCACCUCGGACCAACAGAGGUGAAGUCCCGCUUUCUAAAGUUACUCCCAGGCGAGAACAAGUGGAGAAGGACACUUGGGAGGACCAGUUGCAACAUGCUGACUCAUCUUGGGUGCCUAGAAGACUGAAGCGAUUCGAAUAGUGAUUCUAUCAACGGCAUCGCGAAAAUAAUUUAAGAGAGAAACUCCCGACAUGCAAGAUUCCAGAGAAGCAAUCUGAUUGAUGUUCUACCUCAUGGGCCCUCCUCUCCCUGUUACUUGGCUGUGGCAGCCCAGGGACCGGCCUGAAAGGAUUCUGUGUUUAUGCUAUGUUAGCAGUUGGUUUCCCCCAGGUUUUGACUAUGACCAGACAUUGAAGCUCUAGGUACUUCCUAAGGGUUUAACAUUUUAUUCGUUUUUCAGGAGAUGACGAGGAAUGUACAUUUCUGUCCUGCUUAAGGUAAACACUUCCAAAAGGUAUUUGUUCUCAACUUUCAUUUUAGUUUUGCUUAAUGUGAAGAAAGAAAAAAAAAACUACUUUCAUACAGCAUUGUGAUUGUAACAGUAGGUUCUUUGCGUUUGCACAAAAAGAACAUGAUUCCAUAGCAUUCAUUGUGUAGCGUUCUUGGUGGUUUUAUAUGAAAUAUUAUUGAAUGACACUGCACAUGAACAAUAGUUUCAUAAGCACUCUUUAGGAAGCAGACACAGCUUCAGUUCAGCACUACGCAAACAUGCCACUACAGAUAGCCUCUAGAAGGUGCUAAGAAAAUAUGAGAAAAUAAAAUAACUACAUAAAAUAAAAUACACAAUAAAUAAGAUGAUGAUAAAUAGAAUACAUAAAAAGCUUUGUGUGGGACUGGAUGGUGCUUACGGGUGUAGAAGAGAGAGAGAAGCGGGGAGGGAGUGGAAGGAGAGAGACUGUGGACUGUAACCUCCCUCACGUAUGUGCGGCGUUGUGCUGAAUAAAGCUCCUGAAGCCAGAACACAGAACAGGUGGCUGACAUAGGCUGCUCAAUUUAGAUACUCCCACAUAUCAAAAGGAUACCAGGUACCAUCACUGCUUGUUUUACUAUUUUCCCUGUGGAUUUGCUUUCAUAGCCUAAGGACUGUCUCAUCUGGGCUUUCUAAUAUGUAAUAAAAUUAUAUGUAAAAAUUGUUAA